rnacentral:rRNA from 1 species
AUGCUCCUCGCCUCCUCCGGCCAAAUGGCGGCGCUCCGCCCGCCGCCGCGCCUCCUCCUCCUCCCGCCCCGCCCGGCCGCCCUGCCGCUCCGGCGCCGGCCCGGCCUGCUCGCCUCCUCGGCGAGGCGGCGUGGCGGCGCUGACCGCGUCUGCGUGCCCCGGUGCGCGGGCGCCACCCCCCCUCCGCAAACCUCCGCCGGCGGCUCCGCGGUACAAAUCCCGGCUCGCAGAAAGUGCUCUCCGUUUCUUGAUAGUGCUCUAUUGCCUGGUGGAAAUGAAUUGGCUGUGCAUGAGUGGAAGGCCGUUCCAGAUAUUUGGAGGACAGCAGCAGAAAAAUAUGCUGACCGUGUAGCUCUGGUGGACCCUUAUCAUGAUCCUCCGUCUGAAUUGACUUAUAAGCAGCUUGAACAACAAAUAUUGGAUUUCUCUCAUGGUCUGCGGGUUGUUGGUGUUGCUCCAGAUGAAAAGAUAGCCCUUUUUGCUGACAACUCAUGUCGGUGGCUAGUAGCAGAUCAAGGAAUCAUGGCUACUGGUGCUAUCAAUGUUGUUAGAGGAACAAAAUCUUCCGAUGAAGAACUGUUCCAAAUAUACAGUCACUCAGAAAGUAUUGCACUUGUUGUGGACAGUCCUCAAUUCUUUAACCGGCUUGCAGAAUCUUUCAUUUCAAGGAUUAAUGCAAGAUUCAUUGUGCUACUUUGGGGUGAUAAAUCAUCCCUAAAUAGUAAAGCUGUGAUGGACAUACCAGUUUAUGACUACAAUGAUAUCACUGAACUUGGACGAGAAAAUCGCAAUGCAUUAUGCUACUCAAGCGAGCUAUCCGAGCAAGGUCAGCAAGGCGUCUUCGAAGCUAUUGGUCCAGAAGACGUUGCGACCCUAAUAUAUACUAGCGGAACAGGUGGCACACCAAAAGGCGUGAUGCUUACACACCGAAAUCUCUUGCAUCAGAUAAAUAACUUAUGGGAUAUUGUUCCAGCAGUACCUGGUGAUAGGUUCCUAAGCAUGCUUCCACCCUGGCAUGCAUACGAGCGUUCUACUGAGUACUUCAUCUUCACUCAUGGAAUUCAACAAGUUUACACUACUGUGAAGCACCUGAAGGCAGAUUUGCAGCUCCACCAACCCCAUUAUAUUAUCUCUGUACCACUGGUCUAUGAAACUCUGCACAGUUCGAUUCAGAGGCAGAUAUCUGCUAGUUCUCCUGCUCGAAAAACUGUUGCCCUUGCACUUAUCAAGAUAAGUUUGCUAUUUAUGGAGGCAAAGAAAAUAUAUGAGGGAACAGUCUUAUCAAACAGUCCUGUCAAGCAAUCAUUCAUUUUCUACAUGUUCAAUUAUCUACGGGCAAGAAUCGUCGCUGCUCUUUUGUGGCCUUUACAUAAUCUGGCAAAGAUGUUAGUCUACAAGAAAAUCCAUUCUUCCAUCGGAAUUUCGAAGGCUGGUAUUAGUGGUGGAGGAAGUCUUCCGAUGCAUGUUGACAAGUUUUUUGAGGCUAUUGGUAUCAAAGUGCAAAAUGGCUACGGUCUAACAGAGACUUCCCCUGUUGUAGCUGCUAGACGGCCAUUCUGUAACGUUCUUGGCACAGUUGGCCACCCAAUAAAGCAUACAGAAAUCAAGAUCGUGGACAUAGAGACCGGUGAGGUGCUCCCAGAUGGUUCAAAGGGGAUUGUGAAGAUUAAAGGACUGCCAGUAAUGAAGGGAUAUUAUAAGAAUCCAUCUGCUACAAAUAAAGCUUUGGAUCUAGAAGGUUGGUUCAACACUGGAGAUAUAGGUUGGAUUGCACCUCACCAUGCCACAGGUCCUAGUCGAAAGUGUGGAGGGAUGCUUGUUCUUGAAGGGCGUGCAAAGGAUACAAUAGUUCUCACUACAGGAGAAAAUGUUGAACCUGCUGAGCUUGAGGAAGCAGCAAGCAGAAGUAGCUUGAUUGAUCAGAUAAUGGUUAUUGGCCAGGAUCGGCGGCGCCUCGGUGCUAUUAUUGUUCCCAACAAUGACGAAGUCGUGGCAGCAGCAAAAAGAAAGUCUAGCCUUGAUGGGAACAACGGGCUAGCCAAAGAUAUGGUCAUGAGCUUGUUAUAUGCUGAGCUGAAAACUUGGAUGGCUGGUUGCUCAUUCCAGAUUGGCCCUAUUCUUGUUGUCGACGAACCAUUUACGAUUGAUAAUGGUUUGAUGACACCAACCAUGAAAAUAAGAAGGGACAAAGUGGCGGCCAAGUAUCAGAGUGAGNNNNNNNNNNNNNNNNNNNNNNNNNNNNNNNNNNNNNNNNNNNNNNNNNNGUGA